rnacentral:rRNA from 1 species
UACGUAGGUGGCAAGCGUUGUCCGGAUUUACUGGGCGUAAAGAGCGCGCAGGCGGUCGGAUAAGUCGAAUGUGAAAGCCCCUGGCUCAACCAGGGAGGGUCAUUCGAUACUGUUCGACUCGAAGGCAGGAGAGGGAAGCGGAAUUCCCGGUGUAGUGGUGAAAUGCGUAGAUAUCGGGAGGAACACCAGUGGCGAAGGCGGCUUUCUGGCCUGUUCUUGACGCUGAGGCGCGAAAGCUAGGGGAGCAAACGGGGAUUAAGAAACCCUGGUAA